GACGAAGGGGCUAGCGUUGUUCGGAAUUACUGGCGUAAAGCGCGUGUAGGCGGUUGUCCAAGUUGGAUGUGAAAGCCUGUUGCUUGACAACAGAACUGCCAUUGAUACUGUCAAUCUUGAAUAUGUUUGAUGUGGGCGGAAUAUGACAUGUAGCGGUGAAAUGCUUAGAUAUGUCAUAGAACACCGAUUGCGAAGGCAGCUCACAAAGCCAUUAUUGACGCUGAGGCACGAAAGCGUGGGGAUCAAACAGG
rnacentral:rRNA from 1 species